rnacentral:rRNA from 1 species
ACGACCGGCGCACGGGUGCGUAACGCGUAUGCAACCUACCCUUUACUGGAGGAUAGCCCGGAGAAAUCCGGAUUAAUACUUCAUGGCACUAUAAUAUGGCAUCAUAUAAUAGUUAAAGAUUUAUUGGUAAAGGAUGGGCAUGCGUGACAUUAGCUAGUUGGUGAGGUAACAGCUCACCAAGGCGACGAUGUCUAGGGGUUCUGAGAGGAAGAUCCCCCACACUGGUACUGAGACACGGACCAGACUCCUACGGGAGGCAGCAGUGAGGAAUAUUGGUCAAUGGGCGCGAGCCUGAACCAGCCAUGCCGCGUGCAGGAAGACGGCCUUCUGGGUUGUAAACUGCUUCUAUACGGGAGCAAAAAGACCCUGCGGGGUAAAUUGAGAGUAUCGUAUGAAUAAGCACCGGCUAACUCCGUGCCAGCGGCCGCGGUAAUACGGAGGGUGCAAGCGUUGUCCGGAUUUAUUGGGUUUAAAGGGUGCGUAGGCGGCGUAAUAAGUCAGUGGUGAAAGCCGGCAGCUCAACUGUCGAGGUGCCAUUGAUACUGUUAUGCUUGAGUACAGACGAGGUAGGCGGAAUUUAUGAUGUAGCGGUGAAAUGCAUAGAUAUCAUAAAGAACACCUAUAGCGAAGGCAGCUUACUAGGCUGUAACUGACGCUGAGGCACGAAAGCGUGGGGAGCGAACAGGAUUAGAUACCCUGGUAGUCCACGCCGUAAACGAUGAUGACUCGAUGUUGGCGAUAUACUGUCAGCGUCCUAGCGAAAGCGUUAAGUCAUCCACCUGGGGAGUACGCUGGCAACAGUGAAACUCAAA